GAUGAACGCUAGCGGCAGGCUUAAUACAUGCAAGUCGAGGGGCAGCGCGGGUAGCAAUACCUGGCGGCAACCGGCAAACGGGUGCGGAACACGUACACAACCUUCCUUAAAGUGGGGGAUAGCCCAAAAAAAUUUGGAUUAAUACCUCAUAAAGUCCCGCGGCGGCAUCGCCUGGGGAAUUAAAAAUUUAUUGCUUUAAAAUGGGUGUGCGUAUGAUUAGGUAGUUGGUGUAGGUAACGGCUCACCAAGCCUUCAAUCAUUAACUGGUGUGAGAGCACAACCAGUCACACGGGCACUGAAACACGGGCCCAACUCCUACGGGAGGCAGCAGUAAGGAAUAUUGGUCGAUGGACGCAAGUCUGAACCAGCCAUGCCGCGUGAAGGAUGACUGCCCUCUGGGUUGUAAACUUCUUUUAUCUGGGACAAAAACGGGGCUUUCUAGCUCAACUGACGGUACCAAAGGAAUAAGCACCGGCUAACUCCGUG
rnacentral:rRNA from 1 species